ensembl:lncRNA
GUUACGAUCUCGGAGAAUUUGUUCCGAGUGAAAUCGUACACGAUCCUAUCUACCUUCGCAUAAAAUGAUGCAUUAGAAAUAUCCCGGAAUCAUGUACUCAAAAAAGAUAUUAAAAGAUUAUUAUAAGGAAAAAAAAAAAAAAUGUUAAAAAAUAAUUUUAUUCCCCAGACUAUAACAACCACUUGAUCAGUCAUCUGUCUCCGUUAUGUUCAACUCUUACUGUUACUUUAUAAUCGGAAUUUCAACUUCUUACCCGAGUUUGUAGAAAUUAAUUCUUCUUCGCUGGAUACACGUGACGUCAAUCAGGACUCCUCUGGUUUCCGCCGGUCCUUUCUCUCUUGUCUAAGGAGGUAUGAGGCAGGAUCAUCAGCUGGUGAUCCUGGAAAAGGCCUUUUUCCCCGGACGGUCCCCUGGAGCCUGACGGACGGGUGCAGGUCCUAAUGAAGUCUACCAAUCACUCCACCCAUUGAUGAUGGACAAAGACCAAGUCUACAGCACCAUAACACCCAACAAAAGGGAGGGACCGUCUACGUCCCCACUUUGAAGGAUCUCUGCAGCAGCAGCUAUUGCAUCAAUAUUAAAUGCCUGAGUGUUGAAAGAUAAAAUAAGUAUUUUGCAUUUGCUAAAUAAAGCGUGGGACAUACUUUCAUAAUUCCAUGUCAGCGGACAGCUUCACACUUGUACCAGUCGGUAUUUGGUUUUAUAUAAACUUCUUUGAAGACAAAUUGUGCACAGUCCUGGGUCUGCCUGUCAGGACACUCGUGGUCCAAUCACAGAGGGCGGAGGAAAGUCCCAGGUCUCUGAGCCCACUGACGAGCUUAGAGGCCACGAUGGUGCUGAUGUCAGCUGUCCUCAAUGAACAGCGUUCUGCCAUUUGUGUUCCUCCGGUCCAGGUGGAGGUUUGGGUGGAUGCUGAGAGCUUUGCUGGCGUCUGUGGAUGUGUUUGUCAUUCGGGCAGUGGGGUUUGCUCUUUUGGGGGACAGGGACUAUGGUGGUCUUUUUGGAGAAUGUGGGGGAAUACAGUGAAAUGUGUUGUGGAAUAUUUCAAUAAAAGCUCGGUAGAAGAGAAUGAUUUGUCUGAUAAAACAGAGUCUUGAUGAAUGUUUUGAAGCUUCUAUGAGAUCGAGUCGACCGCCCUCCCUUCUCAGGGCACAGCUGCAAACUAACAUUUUGUAUCAUGCUGCUCUUUGCACGUCCGGGUCAAAUACAGGACACUUGAGACACGGCUUUAGCACAAAACAAUGUUAUAACAUAUUUUUACCAUUACAAAUGUUAUAAAUAUCACUGAGCACAUCUGCCAGUUGUUAUGCACAAGCCACAAGAGCUCGGCCGAGGAUGCCUUCAGGUCCAGGUGCCUUUGGUGGCUUAAGAUUUACACACAUCCACCCUGAAUACUGCUGGUGACGCAACAAUGAUGAAGACUGUGGGUAAAACACUUCGUCAUGGCCUUUUAUUUGCUCUAAACUUGACUUACGUUUUAGGGCAGAAAGAAAACGUAAAGUUUGGGACCUCAGAAGAACGUUUUGUUUUAGAAUUGGUGCGUCUCAAUCUGCUAACAUGCUCAUCUUUCAUUGUGUCAUACACACUUAGUUUUUGUGUUGUAAGUGUCAAAUUGUCGGCCUUUUACAUUUAGAUUGUGUACUUUUCUUUUCUUCAAAUUCAGAAUAAAUGUUUUUUUUCUUUAUGUGAA